rnacentral:lncRNA from 1 species
CUCGGAUGAUCAGUCUUGGUGAGCAGACAGUUAACUCAAAUGAUGGGGUAGCCUCAGUUCCUAAGACGCGGGCAAGGAAGUAACGGCAAUGGCACACAGCAAGUAAGGAGCAAAAGUCAGGACUCAAACAAUGUCUCUUAUCUCCAGUCCAGCUUUCUCAUGGACCCUGCUGCUGAAGCUGGACCCCUCCACUGUCUUUCCCUAUGAAGACAGGGACCAGCACUUACCACCACCACCUACGAGCCACCAGCUGCUCCUUCCUGAGAAGAUGGAACAGACUCAAAAAUUAACUAACUUGUCCAAUCUCAUACAGCCAGAAAAGUGCAGAGCAGGAAGUAAAAUCCAUGAAGUCCAACUAGAAGCCAGUUCAGCCGACUCCCGCAGAGUCCCCUUGCCACCCUGCCUAUACUGCCGGCCUUCUUCUGAUUAUGCUUGGAUUAGAUGUCCCUACAGGCAUCGUUGUUAACAACCGGAUAAUUCUCCCUGGCUUAUAUUUCUAGGCUGUCAUUUUCCAAGAGGCUUUUAGACAUGAAAGCUAAUGGGAUUACCCCAUCCAUCUAUUGUUCUGAGCCAAGCCUUCUCACCUAAGCAAGCACUUUUCUGGUGGAUGUUGAAUCUCUUUCUUCCUAUAUUUGAAUUCCUUCAAAUUGGCUGGGCUUCUGGUAAGCAUGACAACACUAGCAACCUGAUGUCGGGGAGGGCUGCUGGAAGCCACCUUGGAUAAUGGUGAAGAAGGUGAAACCACGUGUCCACCUCCA